GGGUUGUGAGGUUAAGCGACUAAGCGUACACGGUGGAUGCCCUGGCAGUCAGAGGCGAUGAAGGACGUGCUAAUCUGCGAUAAGCGCCGGUAAGGUGAUAUGAACCGUUAUAACCGGCGAUUUCCGAAUGGGGAAACCCAGUGUGAUUCGUCACACUAUCAUUAACUGAAUCCAUAGGUUAAUGAGGCGAACCGGGGGAACUGAAACAUCUAAGUACCCCGAGGAAAAGAAAUCAACCGAGAUUCCCCCAGUAGCGGCGAGCGAACGGGGAGGAGCCCAGAGCCUGAAUCAGCAUGUGUGUUAGUGGAAGCGUCUGGAAAGGCGCGCGAUACAGGGUGACAGCCCCGUACACAAAAGCGCAUGUGCUGUGAGCUCGAUGAGUAGGGCGGGACACGUGGUAUCCUGUCUGAAUAUGGGGGGACCAUCCUCCAAGGCUAAAUACUCCUGACUGACCGAUAGUGAACCAGUACCGUGAGGGAAAGGCGAAAAGAACCCCGGCGAGGGGAGUGAAAAAGAACCUGAAACCGUGUACGUACAAGCAGUGGGAGCACCCUUCGGGGUGUGACUGCGUACCUUUUGUAUAA
rnacentral:rRNA from 1 species